rnacentral:lncRNA from 1 species
CGGUGCUUUUCAACCACAAUUUAGAUUUUGAAGAUUUCUUUCUCAGUGAUCUAACAGAAAGGACAGCUGUCUCCUGCUUUGUGGAUUUCCAUGGCUUGGUUGUGCUCCUGAGCCCAUCCUGGUGCUGGAGAACUCCAAACUCCUCUGAAUUUUGCUUUUUCUCUCCCAUCACUUCAAAUCUCUGCUGUUGUUUAUGAUCUGGCUGAACACGGGAAAGGGUAUGCAGGAAGGAUCUGAAGGACAGACCCCCCGAGGUUGAGAUUUGCCUUUUCUACUUGUAUUUUCUCAUUCAUGGUAUCCAAUGGCCUGUUGUUCUGCUACAACCCCACUAAACCUUUUUUAGUCUAGAUCCUCUUCCUUUCUUCUGACAAAGUGUCUUGAAGUGUCAGCUGAAAAUAUCCUGGCAGGAUGUGGAGACUGAAGAAUGCUUCAGGGGAGCUUCAUUUGCCACAGCCUUGUGAGAUGUUACAGAACCAGUUCCUCAGUGUGGAGCUAGGGGGAGGUACCGUCUUUCACAUGAGAUAAAAUCAGGAUCCUUGGGACCCUAACAAAUUCUAAGAUGCUUUUUGCAAGAGCAGAGAUGUUAGGCCAUUUUACAUGGCUAAAUGUUUGUGCAGCUUCCCAGCAAUCUGUGUCCCAGCUCUGGGCAUCCUGUAGUGUUAGAACAUCUACCUCCCCAGUGAUGUCUGUGCUUUCUCUGAGCAUCGGUGCAGGAGAGAUAGCAGAUCCAGUAUGCUUCAGCAUCUGGGAUGAGAGAUAUUAAUUGCAGGCAUGAGUCUUGUGGGAGAUUUCCAGGGACAGGAGCAAUGAUUCACUGAGGAGUUCCCUUUGGUGUCGCCCACCCAUGUCACAACAAGCUGUAGAAGAACCAGCACUGAAAUGGAAGCAUCUCCCAGCUGCAGUCGUACUGCUCUCAUAACAACUGGACCUCAGCCAGUCUCACUUCUGCAGGGGGCUGGCUUUGAUGUAGGGGAGUUUCUGCACAAGGAUGGCAGUACUUGGAGCGUGCAGUGAUGGGAAAUCCUUCCUGGUGUGCAGAGCUCUGGGGCUGAAGGUGUUUUCACUGUGUCGCACAGAACCACUCCAGCAAGCCCUGGUGCCUUCAGCUGGAAUGUUUGGUGCAAGGCAGAGCCCAAGGCAGACCUGCCCAUCCCAUCAUCAGAGCCUUUUCUCCUCCACGAGACCCAGACUGCUGUUCACUGACGGCCCUGGAGCUCAGCGUGGUGUUGCUGAUGACAGUUGGUGCAGAACGCAGAGCUUUCUCUGGAACCUUUCUAUAAGGGCAGUUCAUUUUUUCACCUGACUUCCAAGCAUGGAAAUCCUGUUGUUACAUGUCUGAAUAACUGAAUAGCUCCAUGCUUGGAUUUUGUCUCCCCUUUGGAUUUCCCA